UUAACUGUUGAAUGACUGGAUAGGUGAGGCCCUGCUAAUGCCAAGUGGCGGUGAGAGGCUCUACCUAUGAUUUGGCUUAUGACGUAGCUGCCACAGACGUGGUGACGGUAAAGAGAAAUCAAAACGUGUGGCCGUGACAGGUGAGGCCCUAACUAGAGCCCUGUAGUAGGGCAUGCAAGGCUUAUAACUAUGAUUUGGGCGUGGGUCCGUACCUCCGUG